rnacentral:rRNA from 1 species
GAUGAACGCUGGCGGCGUGCCUAAUACAUGCAAGUCGAGCGAAUGGAUUAAGAGCUUGCUCUUAUGAAGUUAGCGGCGGACGGGUGAGUAACACGUGGGUAACCUGCCCAUAAGACUGGGAUAACUCCGGGAAACCGGGGCUAAUACCGGAUAACAUCUUGAACCGCAUGGUUCGAAAUUGAAAGGCGGCUUCGGCUGUCACUUAUGGAUGGACCCGCGUCGCAUUAGCUAGUUGGUGAGGUAACGGCUCACCAAGGCAACGAUGCGUAGCCGACCUGUGAGGGUGAUCGGCCACACUGGGACUGAGACACGGCCCAGACUCCUACGGGAGGCAGCAGUAGGGAAUCUUCCGCAAUGGACGAAAGUCUGACGGAGCAACGCCGCGUGAGUGAUGAAGGCUUUCGGGUCGUAAAACUCUGUUGUUAGGGAAGAACAAGUGCUAGUUGAAUAAGCUGGCACCUUGACGGUACCUAACCAGAAAGCCACGGCUAACUACGUGCCAGCAGCCGCCGUAA